rnacentral:rRNA from 1 species
UUGGGCGUAAGGGCUCGCAGGCGGUUUCUUAAGUCUGAUGUGAAAGCCCCCGGCUCAACCGGGGAGGGUCAUUGGAAACUGGGGAACUUGAGUGCAGAAGAGGAGAGUGGAAUUCCACGUGUAGCGGUGAAAUGCGUAGAGAUGUGGAGGAACACCAGUGGCGAAGGCGACUCUCUGGUCUGUAACUGACGCUGAGGAGCGAAAGCGUGGGGAGCGAACAGGAUUAGAUACCCUGGUAGUCCACGCCGUAAACGAUGAGUGCUAAGUGUUAGGGGGUUUCCGCCCCUUAGUGCUGCAGCUAACGCAUUAAGCACUCCGCCUGGGGAGUACGGUCGCAAGACUGAAACUCAAAGGAAUUGACGGGGGCCCGCACAAGCGGUGGAGCAUGUGGUUUAAUUCGAAGCAACGCGAAGAACCUUACCAGGUCUUGACAUCCUCUGACAAUCCUAGAGAUAGGACGUCCCCUUCGGGGGCAGAGUGACAGGUGGUGCAUGGUUGUCGUCAGCUCGUGUCGUGAGAUGUUGGGUUAAGUCCCGCAACGAGCGCAACCCUUGAUCUUAGUUGCCAGCAUUCAGUUGGGCACUCUAAGGUGACUGCCGGUGACAAACCGGAGGAAGGUGGGGAUGACGUCAAAUCAUCAUGCCCCUUAUGACCUGGGCUACACACGUGCUACAAUGGACAG